UACGGAGGGGGCUAGCGUUGUUCGGAAUUACUGGGCGUAAAGCGCACGUAGGCGGCUUUGCAAGUCAGAGGUGAAAGCCCGGGGCUCAACCCCGGAAUAGCCUUUGAGACUGCAUCGCUAGAAUUGUGGAGAGGUAAGUGGAAUUCCGAGUGUAGAGGUGAAAUUCGUAGAUAUUCGGAAGAACACCAGUGGCGAAGGCGACUUACUGGACACAUAUUGACGCUCAUGUGCGAAAGCGUGGGGAGCAAACAGG
rnacentral:rRNA from 1 species